UGAACAUCUUUGUUUGACUAAUGUCUCUACUAGUAUAGGGUUCUGAGUAUGAGAACAAGGUGGUGAGUAUAUCUCUCUUUUGGUAGUGCAUAUGUUUAUAUAUAUUGUGAGUUGCAUUGACAUGAUCACAGUCAGAGUUACACAAAUCAGUCCCAUGGCUCCUCUUACACACUAGUUCUCUGUGUUAUUCAUUGGUUUCAUGGACGCUGAUGGAAGCUGUCCAAUUUUCUGGCACGCAUGCUAAUUUCUAAUUUGAGCAUUAAUAGGGAAUUACUCUUUUGUAAUAAAGUUUUAUUGAGAUCUGACAAUCUUUUCACUUUUCCUUUCUCUUCUUAAUAUGUGUAUUUAUUUAUUUAUUUUAUGUAGGGGGGAGUAGGGGAAGAUUUUCAUCUGGAAGGGGGACUGGAUACAGGAACGAAGGAUCUAAUGGGUACAGGAAUGAGGGACCUAAUGGGUACAGGAAUGAUGGACCUAAUGUUGGAUACCGGAAUGAUGCAC
rnacentral:lncRNA from 1 species